GAAGCUUAGUAAAGGAGAUCAAAACCAGUAAGCCAUAACUCUCACUGACAGUUUGUUUAGUUGGUCUACUAAGCAGGAUCCAAGGAGAUGAUGAUGUGAAGGGAAGAAAUUGACUCGUUAAAAGAGGUACAGGAAUUGACACAGAUGGGACCUUAUUGCAGUCUGUAAGCAAAGGAGAGCUGACUUAGGAUUUAUAUAUUGGGAUUGGUGUUUAUCGU
rnacentral:misc_RNA from 1 species